rnacentral:rRNA from 1 species
UACAGAGGGGGCUAGCGUUAUUCGGAAUUAUUGGGCGUAAAGGGCGCGUAGGCGGUCAGCACAAGUCAGUUGUGAAAUCUCCGAGCUUAACUCGGAACGGUCAACUGAUACUGUGCGACUAGAGUGCGGAAGGGGCAACUGGAAUUCUCGGUGUAGCGGUGAAAUGCGUAGAUAUCGAGAGGAACACCUGCGGCGAAGGCGGGUUGCUGGGCCGACACUGACGCUGAUGCGCGAAAGCCAGGGGAGCGAACGGG